rnacentral:rRNA from 1 species
ACGGAAGGCAGCAGUGAGGAAUAUUGGUCAAUGGACGCAAGUCUGAACCAGCCAUGCCGCGUGCAGGAAUAAGGCCCUAUGGGUCGUAAACUGCUUUUGUGGUGGAGCAAUAAGUCGUACGUGUACGGCGAUGAGAGUACAUCACGAAUAAGCAUCGGCUAACUCCGUGCCAGCCGCCGCGGUAAUACGGAGGAUGCAAGCGUUAUCCGGAUUUAUUGGGUUUAAAGGGUGCGUAGGCUGUGGUCCAAGUCAGGGGUGAAAGCCCGGAGCUCAACUCCGGAACUGCCUUUGAUACUGGAUUGCUGGAAUACGGAUGCCGUGGGAGGAAUGAGUAGUGUAGCGGUGAAAUGCAUAGAUAUUACUCAGAACACCGAUUGCGAAGGCAUCUCACGAAUCCGUCAUUGACGCUGAGGCACGAAAGCGUGGGGAUCAAACAGGAUUAGAUACCCUGGUA